UUUUCCCCAUUUCCCAAUUCUUUUAAAUAAAUCGUUAAAAGCUAUAAACGAUUAAUAAAAAUUGCAAAAUUUAACCUGUGUCGAACCUAUGUCCCGGGCGGAGUCUAUAGCAACAUGCACUAUUCUUUUUUUUUCGGCAGCAAUCAUCAACCUCUUUUUCCAAAUUUUAUAACACGAUUUGUUUUAAUUAUCAUGAACAUUUAAUUGAAACUUUAGCACAUGUAACGUCGGAAAUUAGCGUCUUUAGGAUUUUAGACGUUUUCAGACGUUUGGACAAAUUGGCUACCGUUUUGUAAUGUGU
rnacentral:lncRNA from 1 species